AUGAACGCUGGCGGCGUGCCUAAUACAUGCAAGUCGAGCGAACAGACGAGGAGCUUGCUCCUCUGACGUUAGCGGCGGACGGGUGAGUAACACGUGGAUAACCUACCUAUAAGACUGGGAUAACUUCGGGAAACCGGAGCUAAUACCGGAUAAUAUAUUGAACCGCAUGGUUCAAUAGUGAAAGACGGUUUUGCUGUCACUUAUAGAUGGAUCCGCGCCGCAUUAGCUAGUUGGUAAGGUAACGGCUUACCAAGGCGACGAUGCGUAGCCGACCUGAGAGGGUGAUCGGCCACACUGGAACUGAGACACGGUCCAGACUCCUACGGGAGGCAGCAGUAGGGAAUCUGCCGCAAUGGGCGAAAGCCUGACGGAGCAACGCCGCGUGAGUGAUGAAGGUCUUCGGAUCGUAAAACUCUGUUAUUAGGGAAGAACAAAUGUGUAAGUAACUAUGCACGUCUUGACGGUACCUAAUCAGAAAGCCACGGCUAACUACGUG
rnacentral:rRNA from 1 species